ensembl:lncRNA
GGGAAACAGGUACUGAUAAACUAAGGAGACUCAGAAAACCAUGACAAUGUUGUACAGACUGACCGGGAGGACAUGGAGGGUAGGAACACAGACGACGUGACGCAGACUACAUGAAACACAGAGACUAAAUACACAUGAGGGAUGAUCAGGGGAAGUGGCCACACAUGGGAUCACAGCUGACACACAUGAACCUAACGACAGGACAGGAGGGUGCAACUGAAUACACUGACAUGAAUACAGAUUUACAAAGUAAAACAGGAAACAUGGAAAUUAGACAUGACAAGAACUAAACAUAACCACGCAGACAGGACUCAUGACCCAGGGAAACUUAGUACAGGGGAGAUGACAUAACUGACAGCAUGAACUUGACGUGCGGUGCUCUGAACGGAUAAUUGGAGGUGAGCUUCCCUCCCUCCAAGACAUCUACAGGAAGCGGUGCCUGAGGAAAGCGGGGAGGAUCAUCAAGGACUCCAGUCACCCCAGCCAUAAACUGUUCAGACUGCUUCCAUCAGGAAGGAGGUUCUGCAGCAUCCGGUCCCGUACCAGCAGACUGAGAGACAGCUUUUUCCACCAGGCCAUCAGACUGCUGAACACGUCAUAGACACCUCAGCUUCACUACUGGAACUUCAACAUUAUGCACUCCACACUGUAUAUAAAUGCCACUUGUUUUGCACAUAUUCAACUCUGUAUAUUUUAUAUAUUUUAUUAUUAUUAUUAUUAUUAUUAUUGUUAUUAUUAUUAUUUUUUUUUUUUACUAUUUAAUUUGUAAAAAUGUGUACACACACACACACACACACACACACACACACACACACACACACACACACACACGUAGGAAAAUAUUUAGUAUACACAUCCAGAAAUGCAUACACUAUUAUAUAUUGUACAUAUAUUUAUUAGUUUCAGGUUGGCCAUUCUCGUAUUUUGCUCGUUUGUGUUGUUGUGUUUGCACAUCUCUGUUGCUUGUGGGGCUCGCACACAAGAAUUUCACUCGCAUGUGCUGUGCCAGUGUGCCUGCACAUGUGAUGUGACAAUAAAAGUGAUUUGAUUUGA